rnacentral:rRNA from 1 species
UACAGAGGGUGCGAGCGUUAAUCGGAAUUACUGGGCGUAAAGGGCAUCUAGGCGGUGUAUUAAGUCCUGCGUGAAAGCUCCUGGCUCAACUAGGAGAGCGCGUGGGAGACUGGUGCGCUAGAGACUCGGAGAGGGGUGUGGAAUUCCCGGUGGAGUGGUGAAAUGCGUUGAGAUCGGGAGGAACACCAGUGGCGAAGGCGGCACCCUGGCCGAGUUCUGACGCUGAAGUGCGACAGCGUGGGGAGCAAACGGG